AGAUUGAACGCUGGCGGCAUGCCUAACACAUGCAAGUCGAGCGGGAGUAGCAAUACUCUAGUGGCGGACGGGUGAGGAAUACGUAGGAAUUUGCCCUUAAGUGGGGGAUAACCCGGGGAAACCCGGAUUAAUACCGCAUGACCUCGAAAGAGCAAAGUGGGGGAUCGCAAGACCUCACGCUUUUGGAGAAGCCUACGUCGGAUUAGCUAGUUGGUGAGGUAAUGGCUCACCAAGGCGACGAUCCGUAACUGGUCUGAGAGGAUGAUCAGUCACACCGGAACUGAGACACGGUCCGGACUCCGUACGGGAGGCAGCAGUGGGGAAUAGUUGGACAAGUGGGCGCAAGCCUGAUCCAGCAAUGCCGCGUGUGUGAAGAAGGCCUUGGGUUAGUAAGCUAGUUAAGUUAGGAAGUAAAAACGUGACUACUAACACAGUAGAGUCUUGACGGUACCGACAGAAUAAGCAACCGGCUAACUCGUAGU
rnacentral:rRNA from 1 species